rnacentral:rRNA from 1 species
UACGUAGGGGCAAGCGUUGUCCGGAUUUAUUGGGCGUAAAGCGCGUGUAGGCGGCCUUGCAGGUCCGUUGUGAAAACCCGAGGCUCAACUUCGGGACGUCGAUGGAAACCGCAAGGCUAGAGUCCGGAAGAGGAGAGUGGAAUUCCCGGUGUAGCGGUGAAAUGCGCAGAUAUCGGGAAGAACACCCGUGGCGAAGGCGGCUCUCUGGGGCUGUCCUGACGCUGAGGCGCGAAAGCUGGGGGGAGCGAACAGGAUUAGAAACCCCUAGUAGU